UGUUGCUAAACAUAAAAUUUUCUCAACAACUCCUCUUAGUUGUGGCCUAAAAUUUAGUAAAUUACUUUUACUUUUCUGCCAAAACAGACGCGUCAAAAUAGGUUUUCCCUGUUCUAUUACUUUUUCCCCAAUUCUUAGCGUGCAAUUUUAGUUUCCACUCCAUCUAGAUUUUCUCUUUUCAUUAUUCCUAAACUAAGGUCUUGCAUCUGGCAUGUUCAAUUCUUCGAUCUUUUCCCCUGUGUUCUACCCAAAAUCUGUACCAAUGGACUCAAUUCUGUUUUUUUUUCUUUUUAUGAUAAAACUCAAAAUUUUUGGACUAGAAAAAAGAUGAGAAUUGGAGAAGAUAGGAUUUAUGAGAAGAGGAUUUUGAUACCUCAAACUGAAGUUUCUCUUGCUGCUAUUAGCGGCGUAUUUUCUACUUGAAGAAAGUAAAGCAGCUUUGAUUUUCAAUGUUUUUACUUUUCUGAAAAAGUUUGUAAAUCCUGUCCUUAGUAUUAUUUUGUUAGUUUUUGCUUUGUUUCUUUGUUUCUUUUAAGUUAUGGAAUUUGUAAGUUGAAGUUGCAAUAGAAUAAAAUUUUUAGACGUGAUUAAUUUCUUCUUUAAUGGUAUCCAA